GUUAUUUAAAAAAAUAUGAUUCCACAAAAAUCCUAAAACCAAUAAAACAAAAUUCCUGUGGCUUGAUGGUCUCAGGAGUGUGAUGUGAAAUGGGGUUGCACGUAAUUACGUUGUUUUUUUUUGUUUGUUUGUUUUUUAGGUUCUGACUUGUUUUUAGACUGCAUUUGUUCCUCUUUUUGUAAACAGCAGAUAACUUGAACUGAUAGGUCUGAUUAAACAAAAAGCUACUGAGGGAGAAAAGGUAAAUUUUAUAGUAUUUCUAAAUUCACAAAGCUUUACAAGUUAGCAUUGAACAUUUCAUUUACAUUUAAAUAAGCAAGCAUUGAACAAGAUGGAAUUAAUUUUGCUUCAGGUCAUCAUCAUUGUAAACUAUAAUAAGGUAUAAGCACAGAAAUGAUUGAAGUUCUAGCACAGAACAAGGAACCUGCACAAGGUCUAAUAACCAAAAAAUCACCAGAGUUUAUUCUAGGAUCCCCAAUGAUGGAGAAGCAGCAGCAUCUGAAAGCAGCACACAUUUGGCACAGUUAACCCUCCUCCAUGAUGUCAGCCCUAAUGACAAAGGAGAAAGCGUUGUGUAUGUUUUAAUCAUUAUGAUUCAGUAAAGAAGAAAACUAACUUGAUGUUCUGAAGUCAUGAUGCUCAGUCUAAAUUGCUGACCCCAUCCAAAGCCUGACAUCCAUGUGUCAGCCAAGAUUUGCAUGCUGGGAUUCAAGUCACUUUUCCUGCCAUCAAGGAAUUCAGACUUAAUUUGGGAUAAAGACAAGCAAAAAUAUCAUCCCAUACAAAGUGGUAGGUAUAAUUAGGGGCAAGCACUGAGAGCCAGGUGCACGCAUAGGGAGAAAGUCUAGGGAAAGCUGUCUGAAGGUGAAAGCAUCGAAGCCAAGUUUAAUGGCCAGUUAGAAAUUAGCUAGAUUAAAAAAGAAAAAAAGGGAGCUGGGACAUUCCAGGUAGUGGAAGUAGCUUGGUAUGGGAAGAAAGAAGCAAGAGCUGAAGCUGGAGAUAGAAAAGAACCUAAAUGAUGAAAGGUUUUGUAUGCCAUUCUAAGGACUUCAGAUUUUAUCCUGAAGGUGAUGGGGAAUCUUUGAUGAAAUUUAAUAAUCACUUUUGAAAUUUCAAAGGAUUACUUUAGAAUGAUGGAUGGAGGCAGGGGAGUGUGUUAGAAAGCUAUUGCAGUCCCGCGUACAGAGGAUCCAGACCUGAACUGAAGUGGUGGUAUUGUGUCGGAGAUUAAGAGGAGUGAGCUUGGUUCAUAAAGAUUAAAGAUACAGUUUUGACAGAAUUUGAAGUCAAAUGGCUCUCUAGAUGACCUUUGAACAACAAUUGCAGUGGCAGUUGAAAACAUAGAAGUAGAUCAUUUCACCCAGUGAAAGUCUGUAGAAUAGAGAGCAAAUAAAUUGUUUAUAAGAAUGACAUCUCUGAUACCUAUGAUAGCUUUUAAAAAGUCUUUUUUUCUGCUACCUCUACCCAUUUUUUUAAUCAC